rnacentral:rRNA from 1 species
UGGGGAAUAUUGGACAAUGGGCGAAAGCCUGAUCCAGCCAUGCCGCGUGUGUGAAGAAGGCCUUUUGGUUGUAAAGCACUUUAAGUGGGGAGGAAAAGCUUAUGGUUAAUACCCAUAAGCCCUGACGUUACCCACAGAAUAAGCACCGGCUAACUCUGUGCCAGCAGCCGCGGUAAUACAGAGGGUGCAAGCGUUAAUCGGAAUUACUGGGCGUAAAGCGCGCGUAGGUGGUUAUUUAAGUCAGAUGUGAAAGCCCCGGGCUUAACCUGGGAACUGCAUCUGAUACUGGAUAACUAGAGUAGGUGAGAGGGGAGUAGAAUUCCAGGUGUAGCGGUGAAAUGCGUAGAGAUCUGGAGGAAUACCGAUGGCGAAGGCAGCUCCCUGGCAUCGUACUGACACUGAGGUGCGAAAGCGUGGGUAGCAAACAGGAUUAGAUACCCUGGUAGUCCACGCCGUAAACGAUGUCUACCAGUCGUUGGGUCUUUUAAAGACUUAGUGACGCAGUUAACGCAAUAAGUAGACCGCCUGGGGAGUACGGCCGCAAGGUUA